GGGUCGUUAGCUCAGUUGGUAGAGCAGCGGACCUUGAAUCCGCAGGGCACUCGUUCGAAUCCAGUACGGCCUA
rnacentral:tRNA from 1 species